rnacentral:rRNA from 1 species
CCUACGGGAGGCAGCAGUGAGGGAUAUUGGUCAAUGGGGGAAACCCUGAACCAGCAACGCCGCGUGAGGGAAGACGGUUUUCGGAUUGUAAACCUCUGUCCUCUGUGAAGAAAAUGACGGUAGCAGAGGAGGAAGCGCCUGCUAACUACGUGCCAGCAGCCGCGGUAAUACGUAGGGAGCAAGAGUUCUCCGGAUUUACUGGGGGUAAAGGGUGCGUAGGCGGCUUUGCAAGUCAGAAGUGAAAGCCAUGGGCUUAACCCGGGAACUGCUUUUGAAACUGCAGAGCUGGAGUGGAGUAGAGGGAGGUGGAAUUCCCGGUGUAGCGGUGAAAUGCGUAGAGAUCUGGAGGAACACCAGUGGCGAAGGCGGCCUCCUGGGCUCUAACUGACGCUGAGGCACGAAAGCGUGGGUAGCAAACAGGAUUAGAUACCCGUGUAGUC